GACGAACGCUGGCGGCGUGCUUAACACAUGCAAGUCGAACGGUGAAGCUCCAACUUGCUGGCGUGGAUCAGUGGCGAACGGGUGAGUAACACAUGAGCAACCUCCCCCUGACUCUGGGAUAUAAGCUGGAAAAGGCGUAUCUUACUCGAUACGAGAAGGUUACGCAUGUGCACUAUCUGUAAAGUUCUUCGGUGGGGGCUGGUCUCGCGGCCUAUCCGCUUGUUGGUGAGGUAAUGGCUCACCAAGCCGACGACGGGUAGCCGGCCUGGGAGGGCGGACAGGCACACUGGGACUGAGAGAGGGCCCAGACUCGUACGGGAGGCAGCAGGGGGGAAUAUUGCACAGUGGGCGAGAGUGUGAGGCAGCGACGCCGGGUGAGUGAUGACGGCCUUCGGGUGGUAAACCUCUUUCAGCAGGGAAGAAGCGAAAGUGACGGUACCUGCAGAAGAAGCACCGGCUAACUACGUG
rnacentral:rRNA from 1 species